GGAAGCGUGUCCGAGUGGUUGAAGGAGCACGCCUGGAACGCGUGUAUACAGCAAUGUAUCGGAGGUUCGAAUCCUCUCGCUUCCGCCA
rnacentral:tRNA from 2 species